rnacentral:misc_RNA from 1 species
AGAGAGAGAGAGAGAGAGAGACAGACAGAGAGGAGAGAGGGGGACCAGGACUGCUUCCAGUGGUGUUGAGGUCCUUAAAUGCCUGAGUACUCAGCAUUAGUAAGUGGCAUAUGCACAGAGAAAGUUGAAAGAGUAGAGAUAAAAGAGAGCGUAACCCAUCCCUUCUCCCAAAAAGGAAAAAAAAAAAAAGCACUUGUCUUUACUGUGGCUUUACAUGCAUCACAGGG